ACAAGCAUCAGAGUCAGCAGCAGGACUUCAGCACUUAAUAAUGAAAGCAGCCAGAAGCACCAUUUUAUCAGUUAAUCAUAAAAGCAACGAGCGCCCAGUAUGUGAUGAGCUGAAGAAUUAAAAUGUUACAAUUCUCCACUCCAAAGAAUUUAAACAUUGGACACAUUCCUUCCCACUGAAGUGAAUGGAGGAGCCCACCUGCACAGGGAUUCCAUGUGGACACAAGAAUAAUUGUACUGCUAUCCAUCACAGAUCACACAGACAAACAAGGCAAAGAUGAAAACAGCAUAUGAUGUGAAGGAGGGGGAUGGCAAGGAAGGGGUUGUUCCUGUAAAAACAAUCAAGCCUUCCCUUUGGAACAAGCAAUGAAGACCUGAUCUCAUAUCUUUCAUUUCCUUAAAAGCAUUC